UGGAGAAAAGCAGGGGAUCGAAAGACCUUGCGCUUAAGGAGCGGCCGAUGUCUGAUUAGCUAGUUGGUAGGGUAAAGGCCUACCAAGGCGACGAUCAGUAGUUGGUCUGAGAGGACGACCAACCACACUGGGACUGAGACACGGCCCAGACUCCUACGGGAGGCAGCAGUGGGGAAUUUUGGACAAUGGGCGCAAGCCUGAUCCAGCCAUGCCGCGUGAGUGAAGAAGGCCUUCGGGUUGUAAAGCUCUUUCAGUUGGGAAGAAACGAUUGCAACUAAUAAUUGUAAUUAAUGACGGUACCGACAGAAGAAGCACCGGCUAACUACGUGCCAGCAGCCGCGGUAAUACGUAGGGUGCGAGCGUUAAUCGGAAUUACUGGGCGUAAAGGGUGCGCAGGCGGUUUUGUAAGUCAGAUGUGAAAUCCCCGGGCUUAACCUGGGAAUGGCGUUUGAA
rnacentral:rRNA from 1 species